UGAACGCUGGUGGCAGGCCUAACACAUGCAAGUCGAACGAGGUAGCAAUACCUAGUGGCGGACGGGUGAGUAACGCGUGGGAACGUGCCCCUUGGUACGGAAUAGCCCCGGGAAACUGGGAGUAAUACCGUAUGUGGUCGAGAGACGAAAGAUUUAUCGCCAAGGGAUCGGCCCGCGUUGGAUUAGGUAGUUGGUGGGGUAAUGGCCUACCAAGCCGACGAUCCAUAGCUGGUCUGAGAGGAUGAUCAGCCACAUUGGGACUGAGACACGGCCCAAACUCCUACGGGAGCAGCAGUGGGGAAUCUUGCGCAAUGGGCGAAAGCCUGACGCAGCCAUGCCGCGUGAAUGAUGAAGGUCUUAGGAUUGUAAAAUUCUUUCAGCGGGGACGAUAAUGACGGUACCCGCAGAAGAAGCCCCGGCUAACUUCGUGCCAGCAGCCGCGGUAAUCUGGAUGGCGCGAGG
rnacentral:rRNA from 1 species